AGAGUUUGAUCCUGGCUCAGAUUGAACGCUGGCGGCAGGCCUAACACAUGCAAGUCGAGCGGAAACGAUACCAGCUUGCUGGUAGGCGUCGAGCGGCGGACGGGUGAGUAAUACUUAGGAAUCUACCUAGUAGUGGGGGAUAGCUCGGGGAAACUCGAAUUAAUACCGCAUACGACCUACGGGAGAAAGGGGGCAGUCUACUGCUCUCGCUAUUAGAUGAGCCUAAGUCGGAUUAGCUAGAUGGUGGGGUAAAGGCCUACCAUGGCGACGAUCUGUAGCUGGUCUGAGAGGAUGAACAGCCACACCGGGACUGAGACACGGCCCGGGCUCCUACGGGAGGCAGCAGUGGGGAAUAUUGGACAAUGGGGGAAACCCUGAUCCAGCCAUGCCGCGUGUGUGAAGAAGGCCUUUUGGUUGUAAAGCACUUUAAGCAGUGAAGAAGACUCCUCGAUUAAUACCCGUGGACGAUGACAUUAGCUGCAGAAUAAGCACCGGCUAACUCUGUGCCAGCAGCCGCGGUAAUACAGAGGGUGCAAGCGUUAAUCGGAAUUACUGGGCGUAAAGCGAGCGAAGGUGGCUUGAUAAGUCAGAUGUGAAAUCCCCGGGCUUAACCUGGGAACUGCAUCUGAAACUGUUAGGCUAGAGUAGGUGAGAGGAAGGUAGAAUUCCAGGUGUAGCGGUGAAAUGCGUAGAGAUCUGGAGGAAUACCGAUGGCGAAGGCAGCCUUCUGGCAUCAUACUGACACUGAGGCUCGAAAGCGUGGGUAGCAAACAGGAUUAGAUACCCUGGUAGUCCACGCCGUAAACGAUGUCUACUAGUCGUUGGGUCCCUUGAGGACUUAGUGACGCAGCUAACGCAAUGAGUAGACCGCCUGGGGAGUACGGCCGCAAGGUUAAAACUCAAAUGAAUUGACGGGGGCCCGCACAAGCGGUGGAGCAUGUGGUUUAAUUCGAUGCAACGCGAAGAACCUUACCUGGUCUUGACAUAUCUAGAAUCCUGCAGAGAUGCGGGAGUGCCUUCGGGAAUUAGAAUACAGGUGCUGCAUGGCUGUCGUCAGCUCGUGUCGUGAGAUGUUGAGUUAAGUCCCGCAACGAGCGCAACCCUUGUCCUUAGUUACCAGCGGGUUAAGCCGGGAACUCUAAGGAUACUGCCAGUGACAAACUGGAGGAAGGCGGGGACGACGUCAAGUCAUCAUGGCCCUUACGACCAGGGCUACACACGUGCUACAAUGGUAGGUACAGAGGGCAGCUACACAGCGAUGUGAUGCGAAUCUCAAAAAGCCUAUCGUAGUCCAGAUUGGAGUCUGCAACUCGACUCCAUGAAGUAGGAAUCGCUAGUAAUCGCGGAUCAGAAUGCCGCGGUGAAUACGUUCCCGGGCCUUGCACACACCGCCCG
rnacentral:rRNA from 1 species